GGUAGAGUUGGUCGCCCUUGGUCU
rnacentral:siRNA from 1 species